rnacentral:rRNA from 1 species
CAAUAGCGUAUAUUAAAGUUGUUGCAGUUAAAAAGCUCGUAGUUGGAUUUGUGGUGUGUCCAGUCGGCCUUUGCUCUCUGAGUGAUUGUGCUGUACUGGUCUGCCAUGGUUGGGUGGAAUCUGUGUGGCAUUAAGUUGUCGUGCAGGGGAUGCCCAUCGUUUACUGUGAAAAAAUUAGAGUGUUCAAAGCAGGCUUAUGCCGUUGAAUAUAUUAGCAUGGAAUAAUGAUAUAGGACCUUGGUACUAUUUUGUUGGUUUGCGCACUAAGGUAAUGAUUAAGAGGGACAGUUGGGGGUAUUUGUAUUCCAUUGUCAGAGGUGAAAUUCUUAGAUUUUUGGAAGACAAACUACUGCGAAAGCAUUUACCAAGGAUGUUUUCAUUAA